UACGGGGGGGGCAAGCGUUGUUCGGAAUUACUGGGCGUAAAGGGCUCGUAGGUGGCCAACUAAGUCAGACGUGAAAUCCCUCGGCUUAACCGGGGAACUGCGUCUGAUACUGGAUGGCUUGAGUUUGGGAGAGGGACGCGGAAUUCCAGGUGUAGCGGUGAAAUGCGUAGAUAUCUGGAGGAACACCGGUGGCGAAGGCGGCGUCCUGGACCAAUACUGACACUGAGGCGCGAAAGCGUGGGGAGCAAACAGG
rnacentral:rRNA from 1 species